GGGAGGGUGGAGGUAGCCCAGGCCUAGUUUUCUGGGCUUUCUGGGCAUGGUACCUCCAUAGGCACAGAGGCAGGCACUGGGCAAGAGUGAGCCACUAGGGGGCAGCAGGAACCAGUGAGCUGGUCUCCAGCCAGUCUGAUCUCCAUUGGCUAGGCGUCCUCGACUCAUUAAUAAAGCUGGAAAAGGGUGGGAUUUUGAGGAAGAACUGGCACUGUCCUGCUGCUGUCAGGAAGCUCAGGCCAGUUCGUCACAAGAGCAGCUGGGCAUAGCCUGGCCUUCACCCAUCAAGACAUCUGCUCCUCACUCCACCACUGUGGGCUGCAGGGUUUUCCCUGAAUCGGAGAAGGCUGGCACGUGCCGAUUUAGUAAUCAGAAAAAAGCGUUGUUUUUACAGAUGCUAAAACCACCACUAAAUGGAAGAAAGUAACUGCUUGAUACUGAUGACCCCAGACCUACUGGCGCCUAAGAAUUGAUACCUCACCAUCAACCGAUCAGAAAACUGUGCACGAGCUGAUCACACACCCUGUGACGCCCCCCCCGCCCCCACCCCGCUCACCUGGCCUUUAAAAAUGCUUUGCUGAAGCCCUUUGGGGAGUUCGGGGUUGAGUACAAGCCAUCCACUCUCCUUGCAUGGCCCUGCAAUAAACCUUUCUCUGCUCCAAACUCCGACAUUUUGGUUUGUUGGUCUCACUGUGUCCAGCACAUGAACUUGCAUUUGGUAACACUAAGAUUGUUCCUUGAACCAAUGUUCUCUCUCUUUUUUUCUGAUUCCCUCCCUAAAAAUCUAAAAUAAAACUUUG